UACGGCGAGUGAAGCGGCAACAGCUCAAAUUUGAAAUCUGGAGCCUUUGGCUUCCGAGUUGUAAUUUGCAGAGGGAGCCUCGGAGGGCGAGACGGUCCAAGUGCCUUGGAACAGGAUACCGCAGAGGGUGAGAGUCCCGUAUCCGGCCGAUCUUGCGCUCCGUGUGAGGCCCCUUCGACGAGUCGAGUUGUUUGGGAAUGCAGCUCCAAGCGGGUGGUAAAUUCCAUCUAAAGCUAAAUACUGGCCAGAGACCGAUAGCGAACAAGUAGAGUGAUCGAAAGAUGAAAAGCACUUUGAAAAGAGAGUCAAACAGUACGUGAAAUUGUUGAAAGGGAAGCGCAUGGGGGCAGACUUGGACGCGGGGUUCAGCGUUUCUAUUGGAGCGUGUACUUCCCCGCGUGCAGGCCAGCAUCGGUUCCGGGGGCCGGACAAAGAGGUUGGGAAUGUGGCUCCCCUCGGGGAGUGUUAUAGCCCGGCGUGCAAUGCGGCCACCUGGGACCGAGGACCGCGCCUUGUGCAAGGAUGCUGGCGUAAUGGCCUCAUGCGGCCCGUCUUGAAACACGGACCAAGGAGUCUAACAUCUAUGCGAGUGUUUGGGUGGCAAGCCCGGACGCGCAAUGAAAGUGAACGGAGGUGGGAGUCUGUCAAAGGACGCACCAUCGACCGAUCCGGACGUCUUCUGAAGGAUUUGAGUAAGAGCAUAGCUGUUGGGACCCGAAAGAUGGUGAACUAUGCGUGAAUAGGGUGAAGCCAGAGGAAACUCUGGUGGAGGCUCGCAGCGGUUCUGACGUGCAAAUCGAUCGUCAAAUUUGCGUAUAGGGGCGAAAGACUAAUCGAACCAUCUAGUAGCUGGUUCCUGCCGAAGUUUCCCUCAGGAUAGCAGUAACGCAUGGCAGUUUUAUGAGGUAAAGCGAACGAUUAGGGAGCUAGGGGUUGAAACAACCUUUAUCCAUUCUCGAACUUUAAAUAUGUAAGAAGUCCUUGUUGCUUUGUUGAACGUGGACACUCGAAUGCGGCGUUACUAGUGGGCCAUUUUUGGUAAGCAGAACUGGCGAUGCGGGAUGAACCGAACGUGGGGUUAAGGUGCCGGAAUGCACGCUCAUCAGACACCACAAAAGGUGUUGGUUCAUCCAGACAGCAGGACGGUGGCCAUGGAAGUCGGAAUCCGCUAAGGAGUGUGUAACAACUCACCUGCCGAAUGAACCAGCCCUGAAAAUGGAUGGCGCUCAAGCGUGCUACCCAUACCCCACCGUCUGCGUUUUUUGUUAGGCGCAGACGAGUAGGCAGGCGUGGAGGUUUU
rnacentral:rRNA from 1 species